UAAUAGGUGUUAUUUAACACCAUUUACAAACUUAAAUCGAAAGUCU
rfam:Stegodyphus mimosarum contig5615, whole genome shotgun sequence.